UCCUUAAUUCUCCAUUCUUCGAUUUCCAUGCAUAUUAAUCAACCAUUAAAGCUGACCCAAAAAUUCUACCUUCCUCUUAAAUUCAUGGCCUUAGAGGUCCAAAAGUAGAACACCAAACCCAUAUGUUGAUGGGUACUCUUUGCCUAAAUGCCCUUAAUUAUCUGAGUACGUCUCCUGCUAUAUAUAGCUGGGUACCUUUCCAUAUCUUCACCAAACCAUUCUGAUGACUCUCUAUCUCUAGCUUCAAUCUUGUUGUUGCCUGCCAUAUAUAACACUCCUGGUGAAGCCUCAAUUUGUACUGGAUUAAUUAAGGUGAGAGAUAAAGAUGAGCAGAAGAGGAAGUACUAGUCCAAAGCUUGAAUUGAGGCUAAACCUGUCUCCUCCAAGAACUCACUCACCAAUUGGCUCCCCGAAUGCCUCCGAAUCAUCCUCGAACAUGUCGCUUGACCGCGGCUCUUGCGUGUCAUCGGAGCCUGAACAACAGACGAUGUACUACCAGAGCAGCCCUGAAGCGAAGGCCAUGGUGCUUGCCGGGUGUCCACGGUGCCUCAUGUAUGUCAUGCUAUCUGAUGCCGAUCCAAAGUGCCCAAAAUGCAAAAGCACAGUCUUGCUCGAUUUCCUUAUUAACGAAGAAAGCACCAAGAGGACAAGAAUAUAAGGAGGAACAUGGCUUGCUUUUUGUUGUUCUCAUGGCGCAAGUCAGUACAAUAUUUUGUCAGCCUUUUGAGUAACUGUUGAAGUUUCUUGGUUCUUGUGGUUAAUUACGUCUUUUUCUUUUUCCUUUGUCCCCAUUUUUUUUUUUCCCCUUUGUUUUGCCCCAUCCAGUUGAUUGCCUUUAGGUUCAAGUAACUAUCCAGAGUUAGACUGUGAAUUUGUGAAUUUGUGAAUUUGUGAAUUUUCCUUUUGUAGGUACUUUUCUUUUUUCUAUAUGCAUGCAUCAAAUCAAACAUUGUGCUUUCUUGUUUAGUGGUAAUGGUUCUGAAGAUGUUAUAGAAUCGGACUUUUUUUCUCAAUCACCAAAUCAGACAAGGUUAGUGAAUUUUUCA